rnacentral:rRNA from 1 species
AGGAUCAUUACCAAGAACCACACAGAAAAGGGAGGCAAAGGGGCCUACAGGGCUAGUAGCUUAUACGUUGUUGAACGUCCUGCCUGGACCCGGAGCCGCCCCCAUCUAAACCCUCUGCGUACCUGUCCCUUCUUGCUUCCCCCGGCAUCUCGUCGGGGGGAGGUAACAACCAAAACUCUCUGUGAAUCAAACAGCCGUCAGAAUUAUAAAACAAACAAAAGUUAAAACUUUCAACAACGGAUCUCUUGGUUCCCACAUCGAUGAAGAACGCAGCGAAAUGCGAUAAGUAAUGUGAAUUGCAGAAUUCAGUGAAUCAUCGAAUCUUUGAACGCACAUUGCGCCCCCUGGUAUUCCGGGGGGCAUGCCUGUUCGAGCGUCAUAAAAACCUCCUCCCCCUUCGGGUUUUGUUACUAUCGUUGGGGGGUUUUGGCCUAAUGGGAUAGCGAUUGGCAAUUCGUUUCCCAAUGUCCUAAAUAGACGUAGACCCGCCUCCAGAUGCGACAGCACCGAGGCCAUCAACCGUGGAGUUAUGGGAUAUAAUAGGCUUGCAGUAAAAUGCUCACCUCUCUCCACACGCCGAUGGCACGACAGUUGCAGUUGCGGGCGUAAAUUGGAGCCCUUUUCAGGACCCUUGUGGCCUAGCAUCCACCAUACAUAAUUUGACCUCGGAUCAGGUAGGGAUACCCGCUGAACUUAAGCAUAUC